GACGAACGCUGGCGGCGUGCUUAACACAUGCAAGUCGAACGGAAAGGCCCUGCUUUUGUGGGGUGCUCGAGUGGCGAACGGGUGAGUAACACGUGAGUAACCUGCCCUUGACUUUGGGAUAACUUCAGGAAACUGGGGCUAAUACCGGAUAGGAGCCCCUGCUGCAUGGUGGGGGUUGGAAAGUUUCGGCGGUUGGGGAUGGACUCGCGGCUUAUCAGCUUGUUGGUGGGGGAGUGGCUUACCAAGGCUUUGACGGGUAGCCGGCCUGAGAGGGUGACCGGCCACAUUGGGACUGAGAUACGGCCCAGACUCCUACGGGAGGCAGCAGUGGGGAAUAUUGCACAAUGGGCGGAAGCCUGAUGCAGCAACGCCGCGUGCGUGAUGACGUCCUUCGGGUUGUAAACCGCUUUCGCCUGUGACGAAGCGUGAGUGACGGUAAUGGGUAAAGAAGCACCGGCUAACUACGUG
rnacentral:rRNA from 1 species